GUUGCUUUGGCGGGCCGCGGUCCUCCGCGGCCGCCCCCCUCCCCGGGGGGGUGGCCAGCGCCCGCCAGAGGACCAUCAAACUCCAGUCAGUAAACGAUGCAGUCUGAAAAACAUUUAAUAAACUAAAACUUUCAACAACGGAUCUCUUGGUUCUGGCAUCGAUGAAGAACGCAGCGAAAUGCGAUAAGUAAUGUGAAUUGCAGAAUUCAGUGAAUCAUCGAAUCUUUGAACGCACAUUGCGCCCUUUGGUAUUCCGAAGGGCAUGCCUGUUCGAGCGUCAUUACAACCCUCAAGCUCUGCUUGGUAUUGGGCACCGUCCUUUGCGGGCGCGCCUCAAAGACCUCGGCGGUGGCGUCUUGCCUCAAGCGUAGUAGAACAUACAUCUCGCUUCGGAGCGCAGGGCGUCGCCCGCCGGACGAACCUUCUGAACUUUUCUCAAGGUUGACCUCG
rnacentral:rRNA from 1 species